rnacentral:rRNA from 1 species
AACGAACGCUGGCGGCAGGCUUAACACAUGCAAGUCGAACGCAUCCUUCGGGAUGAGUGGCAGACGGGUGAGUAACGCGUGGGAACGUGCCCUUUAGUUUGGAAUAACCCAGGGAAACUUGGGCUAAUACCGGAUACGCCCGAAAGGGGAAAGAUUUAUCGCUGAAGGAGCGGCCCGCGUCUGAUUAGCUAGUUGGUGAGGUAAUGGCUCACCAAGGCGACGAUCAGUAGCUGGUCGAGAGGAUGAUCAGCCACACUGGGACUGAGACACGGCCCAGACUCCUACGGGAGGCAGCAGUGGGGAAUAUUGGACAAUGGGCGCAAGCCUGAUCCAGCCAUGCCGCGUGAGUGAUGAAGGCCUUAGGGUCGUAAAGCUCUUUCGGCGGGGACGAUAAUGACGGUACCCGCAGAGAAGCCCCGCUAACUUCGUGCCAGCAGCCGCGGUAAC